rnacentral:rRNA from 1 species
AACGAACGCUGGCGGCAUGCCUAACACAUGCAAGUCGAACGAGACCUUCGGGUCUAGUGGCGCACGGGUGCGUAACGCGUGGGAACCUUCCCUUAGGUUCGGAAUAACUCCCCGAAAGGGGUGCUAAUACCGGAUAAUGUCUUCGGACCAAAGAUUUAUCGCCUUUGGAUGGGCCCGCGUUGGAUUAGCUUGUUGGUAGGGUAAAAGCCUACCAAGGCGACGAUCCAUAGCUGGUCUGAGAGGAUGAUCAGCCACACUGGGACUGAGAAACGGCCCAGACUGCUACGGGAGGGAGGAGAGGGGAAUAUUGGAAAAUGGGCGAAAGCCUGAUCAAGCAAUGACGGGUGAGUGAUGAAGGGCUUAGGGUUGUAAAGCUCUUUUACCCGGGAAGAUAAUGACAGUACCGGGAGAAUAAGCACCGGCUAACUCCGUG